CAAUUAGCUUUUAACUCCCCGUUGGCCCAUGAGUUUGCUCUAAUAUUACCACAAGUAACCUUUGUGAAUUAAGUUGCGACGGCGCUUCUAACCUAUUAGUUUAUUAUAAAAUUUACAGCAAUCUGCCUGAAAUGAACCAUUUACAAAUUAGAUCAAGUGUUAUAACAAUCCAAUAUCUUUGAUCACAGUUAUAGUUGAAAUCGCCAAGUCAAAUAGACGCUAAGAGACAAUCGGCUGACCAUUGAUCAACUUUCUGUAAGUAAUCAAUAAUUAGUAGCGAGAAGCGAGGAUAAAAGAAGCAAUAAAACAAAAUGUUAAGAGUUGAGUUGUCAUUAAUUAUCGUCUUGGUUGGAUUAAUGGGCUUCAUCAUUCCCAUCGAUUGUCGUCAUAUUUCAACUCCUGAAGGAUCAUCCAGGCUGACAAAUACUAUGGGUUUAGCUGGUCUUGGUUCAGGUGGACCAAUGUCUGCCUCUUUACAGCCCUCAUCGGAGAUGAAACAUCAAUUUUUGAUGAUUCCGUCUCAAUAUUUACUUCGAUCCCAAGUGUUUGAUCCUGAAAGAUAUCAGCUGUUAACUAAUUUAAGACGCGAACGAAGGAAAUUCCCAGAAGUUGGUUCCAAGGGAUUCGAGGCUGACAUCUUUGAUGAAGGAUUUGGUGGAUUCUCGACCAUGAGAUGAACUCACAUCAACUCAUAUGAAUUCAAAUCAAUUUUCAAAACCAAUCCUCAAUCCAUAUUGUAACUUAUAUUUGUUUUUUUGAAUGCAUUUUAACUCUUUUUUUGCCAUUUUUCAUUUUCACUUGCUUAUCUACCUUUUAUAACUCCAAGUUUUCCCUUGUAACCCAAAAGUUAUCUUAUUUUGCUUCCGUCAUUUCAACCAGCGAUUCAUUGUUUGACUUAAUUUGGUUUGUAAAAAUUGAACAAAUAUAUUGCAAACAAGUGAUAUUCAUUCACUUGUUGUCUCAAUAAAUUGAUCCUGAAAAGGUAA